GACGAACGCUGGCGGCGUGCUUAACACAUGCAAGUCGAACGGAGAGUCCCUGCUUUUGUGUGGUGCUCGAAUGGCGAACUGCUUAGUAACACGUGAGUAACCUGCCCUUGAGUUUGCUAUCACUUCAAGAAACUUGGGCUAAGACCGGAUAUGCGCUUCUCGUGCAUGGUGAGGGUUCGAAAUGUUCGGCGGGUAGGGGUGGACUCGCGGCUUAACAGCUUGGUGGUGGGGUAGUGGCUUACCAGGGCUUUGGCCGGUAACCGGCCCGAGAGGUUGCCCGGACACAUUGGGACGGAGAUACGGCCCAGACUCCAACGGGAGGCAAGAGAGGAGAAUAUUGUACAAUGGGAGGGAGCAAGACGCGGCACAGCCGCGUGCGGUAUGAGGGCAUUCGUUUUGUAAACCGCUUCCGCCUGAGACGAAGCGUGAGUGACGGUACUGGGUAAAGAAGCACCGGCUAACUACGUG
rnacentral:rRNA from 1 species